rnacentral:tRNA from 1 species
GGAUGUAACUCAGUGGAAGAGCACUUGCCUAGAAUGUGUGAGGCCCUGGGUUCCAUCCCCAGCACCA